rnacentral:rRNA from 1 species
UACGUAGGGUCCGAGCGUUGUCCGGAAUUACUGGGCGUAAAGAGCUCGUAGGUGGUUUGUCGCGUUGUUCGUGAAAACUCACAGCUUAACUGUGGCGUGCGGGCGAUACGGGCAGACUUGGAGUACUGCAGGGGAGACUGGAAUUCCUGGUGUAGCGGUGGAAUGCGCAGAUAUCAGGGAGGAACAGCCGGUGGCGAAGGCGG